rnacentral:rRNA from 1 species
AGAGACCGGCGCACGGGUGCGUAACGCGUAUGCAAUCUACCUUUCACAAAGGGAUAGCCCAGAGAAAUUUGGAUUAAUACCUUAUAGUAAUACGACUUGGCAUCAAGAUGUAUUUAAAGAUUUAUCGGUGAAAGAUGAGCAUGCGUCCCAUUAGCUAGUUGGUAAGGUAACGGCUUACCAAGGCGACGAUGGGUAGGGGUCCUGAGAGGGAGAUCCCCCACACUGGUACUGAGACACGGACCAGACUCCUACGGGAGGCAGCAGUGAGGAAUAUUGGACAAUGGGCGCAAGCCUGAUCCAGCCAUGCCGCGUGCAGGAUGACGGUCCUAUGGAUUGUAAACUGCUUUUAUACAGGAAGAAACACUCGGACGUGUCCGAGCUUGACGGUACUGUAGGAAUAAGGAUCGGCUAACUCCGUGCCAGCAGCCGCGGUAAUACGGAGGAUCCAAGCGUUAUCCGGAAUCAUUGGGUUUAAAGGGUCCGUAGGCGGUCAGAUAAGUCAGUGGUGAAAGCCCAUCGCUCAACGGUGGAACGGCCAUUGAUA